UACGUAGGGGGCAAGCGUUGUCCGGAUUUAUUGGGCGUAAAGAGCGUGUAGGCGGCCAGGUAGGUCAGCUGUGAAAACUCGAGGCUCAACCUCGAGACGUCGGUUGAAACCACCUGGCUAGAGUCCGGAAGAGGAGAGUGGAAUUCCUGGUGUAGCGGUGAAAUGCGCAGAUAUCAGGAAGAACACCUAUGGCGAAGGCAGCUCUCUGGGACGGUACUGACGCUGAGACGCGAAAGCGUGGGGAGCGAACAGG
rnacentral:rRNA from 1 species